rnacentral:rRNA from 1 species
AUUGAACGCUGGCGGCAUGCCUUGCACAUGCAAGUCGAACGGUAACAGGUCUUCGGAUGCUGACGAGUGGCGAACGGGUGAGUAAUACAUCGGAACGUGCCCGAGAGUGGGGGAUAACGAGGCGAAAGCUUUGCUAAUACCGCAUACGAUCUCAGGAUGAAAGCAGGGGACCGUAAGGCCUUGCGCUCACGGAGCGGCCGAUGGCAGAUUAGGUAGUUGGUGGGAUAAAAGCUUACCAAGCCGACGAUCUGUAGCUGGUCUGAGAGGACGACCAGCCACACUGGGACUGAGACCCGGCCCAGACUCCUACGGGUGGCAGCAGUGGGGAAUUUUGGACAAUGGGCGCAAGCCUGAUCCAGCCAUGCCGCGUGCAGGAUGAAGGCCUUCGGGUUGUAAGCUGCUCUUGUACGGAACGAAAAGACUCUGGUUAAUACCUGGGGUCCAUGACGGUACCGUAAGAAUAAGCACCGGCUAACUACGUGCCAGCCGCCGCCGUAAAAC